CAUGGGCGGCGACCGGCAAACGGGUGCGGAACACGUACGCAACCUUCCUUCAAGCGGGGAAUAGCCCAGAGAAAUUUGGAUUAAUACCCCAUAAGAAUGUAGAGAGGCAUCUCUCAGCAUUUAAAGAUUUAUCACUUGAAGAUGGACGUGCGUCUGAUUAGGUAGUUGGUGAGGUAACGGCUCACCAAGCCGACGAUCAGUAACUGGCGUGAGAGCGCGACCAGUCACACGGGCACUGAGACACGGGCCCGACUCCUACGGGAGGCAGCAGUAAGGAAUAUUGGUCAAUGGACGGAAGUCUGAACCAGCCAUGCCGCGUGGAGGAUGAAGGUCCUCUGGAUUGUAAACUUCUUUUAUCUGGGACGAAACACUUCCUUUCCAGGGAGCUUGACGGUACCAGAUGAAUAAGCACCGGCUAACUCCGUGCCAGCAGCCGCGGUAAUACGGAGGGUGCAAGCGUUAUCCGGAUUCACUGGGUUUAAAGGGUGCGUAGGCGGACUUGUAAGUCCGUGGUGAAAUCUCCGAGCUUAACUCGGAAACUGCCAUGGAUACUAUAAGUCUUGAAUGUUGUGGAGGUUAGCGGAAUAUGUCAUGUAGCGGUGAAAUGCUUAGAUAUGACAUAGAACGCCGAUUGCGAAGGCAGCUGGCUACACAACUAUUGACGCUGAGGCACGAAAGCGUGGGGAUCAAACAGGAUUAGAUACCCUGGUAGUCCACGCCCUAAACGAUGGAUACUCGACAUUUGCGAUAUAUUGUAAGUGUCUG
rnacentral:rRNA from 1 species